GCUGGGCAUGGUGGUGCUGUGCCUGUAGUCCCAGCUACUCGGGAGGCUGAGGUGGGAGGAUCGCUUGAGCCCAGGAGUUCUGGGUUCUUGUGCCGCUGUGCCGCUAUGCCGAUUGGGUGUCCGCACUAAGUUCGGCAUCAAUAUGGUGACCUCCUCGCAGCGGGGGACCACCAGGUUGCCUAAUGUGGGGUGAAAAGACCCAGGUUGGAAACGGAGCAGGUCAAAACUCCCAUGCUGAUCCGUAGUGGGACAGCAGCUGUGAAUAGUCACUGCACUCCCACCUGGGCAACAUAAGACCCCGUCUCU
rnacentral:SRP_RNA from 1 species